rnacentral:rRNA from 1 species
GGCCAGACUCCUACGGGAGGCAGCAGUGGGGAAUAUUGCACAAUGGGGGAAACCCUGAUGCAGCGACGCCGCGUGAGUGAAGAAGUCAUUCGUGAUGUAAAGCUCUCUCAGCAGGGAAGAAAAUGACGGUACCUGAGUAAGAAGCCCCGGCUAACUACGUGCCAGCAGCCGCGGUAAUACGUAGGGGGCAAGCGUUAUCCGGAAUUACUGGGUGUAAAGGGAGCGUAGACGGUGAAGUAAGUCUGGAGUGAAAGGCGGGGGCCCAACCCCCGGACUGCUCUGGAAACUAUUUGACUGGAGUGCAGGAGAGGUAAGCGGAAUUCCUAGUGUAGCGGUGAAAUGCGUAGAUAUUAGGAGGAACACCAGUGGCGAAGGCGGCUUACUGGACUGUAACUGACGUUGAGGCGCGAAAGCGUGGGGAGCAAACAGGAUUAGAUACCCCCGUAUG